ACGCGUGGAACCUUACCUACCCUUGACAUCGACAGAAGCCGAGAGAGAUCUUGGUGUGCCUUCGGGAACUGUCAGACAGGUGCUGCAUGGCUGUCGUCAGCUCGUGUUGUGAAAUGUUGGGUUAAGUCCCGUAACGAGCGCAACCCUUGUCCUUAUUUGCCAGCGCAUAAUGGCGGGAAACUCUAAGGAGACUGCCGGUGACAAACCGGAGGAAGGUGGGGACGACGUCAAGUCAUCAUGGCCCUUACGG
rnacentral:rRNA from 1 species